AGAAAAUGUUGUUUGUGCUUUGCGUGAUGAUGAUGCUCAGAGCGGGACGAUGCAUGAAUCAUCCGUCCUUUGAUGAAAAGACUGCUGCAGUCGGAGACGAGGUUGAAAUGAAGUGUAAGCUUGACUCUACAGGAAGCUAUUUCUGGAUCCGCCUCGGUUCUGGAAACUUUCCUGAAUACUUAGGAAAACCAAAUAGCUUGGAUGUGAAGAAUUCACGCAUUACAACUAUGGAACAACGAGAUAAGGGAGGAGAAUUUAUUCUGCGUAUGAGAAAAGCAGAGCUGAGGGAUACAGGAUUUUAUUAUUGUAUGAGAACAAAUCAACGAAACUUGACUUUUCUGACAGGAACAAACCUGACAGUUAAAGCAGCACAACCUGGAGACGCUGCAGUCCGUCCUCCUGAUCCGGUCGGUCCGGGAGACUCAGAGAAGAAGCAAAC